GCAACAGAUUCAUGUUUACGUUCCGGAAUUCUCAUUAGUUGUCAGUGACUGAAUUUCAACUUCGAGAUCUUACAGUUGUCAGCAGUAUCUAUUUUCAUAUAAACUUUGGAAGUAAUUGUUUCAUUUCAAACUUUUGGUUAAAAGGUAUCUCGAGAAUCAUACAUUCAUAAAAUAUAUUCCAUUUGCCACUCUCAAGCGAGUCAACAGCCCAGGCGGCAGUGAACGCGCACCGAGCCAAGAGCCAACCACGUACGUUUCGAAAUAGCCUCUUAUCUCGUUUAUGCAAAGGCAGCUACGUCUACAAUUAUCUCAACUUGUUUCAGCAACAAAAGUCACAUAAGAAAGACAUAUCAAGGUGACAUUAAGCGAUUCAAGGAAGCUUUCCCACUUCAUCGAACAAAGAUUGCAAAGGCAGCAAGAGAUGGUACUUCUGAAGCGGACCCAGACUCGGGAUUGACGUUAAUCGCGACAGAUAUAACGAGAUUAGGCUCCAAAUGAUUUGGAUCUAGUUGUAUCUAACUUGGUCGAUCCUCAAACACAUCUAAGAUUCACCAGAAGACAUUUGCUCAACGUGACGAACUCACUUAGGAAAACCAGUUAUCUGCAACCCCUUCGAGCCCCGUUAGCCAGGAUUACUGAAGAGCACGCUGACGAAAUAGUAACUGAUGAAAUAGAUAAUUUCCGAGUCGGCAAAUGUGUUGAUGCCCGCAGGGUUCCGAGCUGGUCAUAAUUUAUUAUCUACUUUUGACUGCUUAGCGUGCAAACUGGAAGGUGGCUUCACGCCAGAUCCAAUAUGAUUGGGAGAAUUCUACGAACAAUUUGGGAACAAUUUCAAGUAAUUCUGGGGAUUUAUCUGAAAUUUGCAGUCUUGGCGGCGUUAGUUUAUGCAGUGUUCGCUUGGUACGUGAUGAAUUUUGAUCAACCUGUUGGCCAUGUAGUAGAGGUGGUAAAAGAAGUGGAGGAGACAAGCUCGUAAGCUGCUUCUGUUGCUCGCUACCGUUGCUGUGCAUUCGAAGACAUUGAAUCGGAAACCUCUUACGUCACGUCAAUGUGAAAGUUAUUUUGCUUAGUUUGUAUUGUACUUGUAUUUGUUCGUAACCGUCUUUGUGUACUGCAGAGCUAGGUCUGAUAUACACUAUGUCACUAUGCGUCGCCCGAAGAAAUAACAAUGUAUAUAUUAAAAGUUGUUGAUCGCUUUAGUAGCUA